GCAUUAAUGGGGUAGUGGUAACCUGGGUCGUUGCCAUUGAAGUGCACGGUUGUCAGCUUCGACCCGCCGGGGGUUCGAUUCCCUCUUAAUGCA